CAGCAGCCACGGGAAUACGAAGGGGGCUAGCGUUGCUCGGAAUGACUGGGCGUAAAGGGCGCGUAGGCGGCGAUCAAAGUCAGGCGUGAAAUUCCUGGGCUCAACCUGGGGGCUGCGUUUGAUACUUGAUUGCUAGAGUGGGGAAGAGGGUCGUGGAAUUCCCAGUGUAGAGGUGAAAUUCGUAGAUAUUGGGAAGAACACCGGUGGCGAAGGCGGCGACCUGGUCCUUGACUGACGCUGAGGCGCGAAAGCGUGGGGAGCAAACAGGAUUAGAUACCCCCGUAGUCCCUGUCUCUUAUAC
rnacentral:rRNA from 1 species